rnacentral:rRNA from 1 species
AGCAGCCGCGGUAAUUCCAGCUCCAAUAGCGUAUAUUAAAGUUGUUGCAGUUAAAAAGCUCGUAGUUGAAUUUCGGGAUCAGUAUGUUGGUCGUACUUCGGUACGUACUGUCAUUACUGGUUUCUACCUUCUGAAGAACCUUGAUGUCAUUAAUUUGGUGUCUUGGGGAAUCAGGACUGUUACUUUGAAAAAUUGAGUGUUUAAAGCAAGCAUACGCUUGAAUACAUUAGCAUGGAAUAAUGAAAUAGGACGUUUGAUUCUAUUUUGCUGGUUUCUAGGAUCGACGUAAUGAUUAAUAGGGAUAGUUGGGGGCAUUAGUAUUCAAUUG